rnacentral:rRNA from 1 species
AUUGAACGCUGGCGGCAGGCCUAACACAUGCAAGUCGAGCGAGCGGCGGACGGGAGAGUAAUGUAUGGGGAUCUGCCCGAUAGAUGGGGAUCACUACUGGGAACGGUGACUAAUUCCGCAUACUAUCGGAUGAGUCCAUAUGGGAUUAGCUAGUAGGUGGGGUAAAGGCUCACCUAGGCGACGAUCUCUAGCUGGUGUGAGAGGAUGAUCAGCCACACUGGAACUGAGACACGGCCCAGACUCCUACGGGAGGCAGCAGUGGGGAAUAUUGGACAAUGGGCGCAAGCCUGAUGCAGCCAUGCCGCGUGUAUGAAGAAGGCCUUAGGGUUGUAAAGUACUUUCAGCUGGGAGGCGUUACCCGCAGAAGAAGCACCGGCUAACUCCGUGCCAGCAGCCGCGGUAAUUC